AUUUAAUAAAAAUAAAAUCAAUUUUGUUAUAUAAAAGCUAAUUAUGUAAUAAAAUUAAGAAAUGUUCAACACUUGUGUAUGGUAAAAGGUUAAAAAAUUAAGGGUUCAAUGUUACUGUUGUACGUAAAUUUUAACAUUUAAAAAAGUAAUUACUAACAUAGGUCCUUAGGUUAACAUUUAAUUUUUCGAUAAGUAUAAAGAUUAAUGAAGUAAAAAAGUAACGUAUUCUCUUUUAAGUAUUCAAAUCAUAUUAAUGAGAGUUAAAAGUUAUAAGGCUAACAUCUCCUUGUUUAACCUCUGUACCAAACACCACCUUCCUCAAAAUCAGAAUUAAGAGUUAUUAGUUCUUCCUAAUGACAGUGCAAAAUUCAACUAAAUUAAUAGCUAUUCCCAAAAAUAAAAAUGCAUAAAUUCAAGAGUGUAAAUCAGAUCAUCAAUAGCAGAGAAGCUGAAAAUUAUGAAGAAAAGAAACGUACGGCUUGCUGGAAUCCAGAGAGGUAAAUGGC
rnacentral:misc_RNA from 1 species